GAUGAAGAACGUAGCAAAAUGCGAUAAGUAAUGUGAAUUGCAGAAUUCAGUGAAUCAUCGAAUCUUUGAACGCACAUUGCGCCCGCCAGUACUCUGGCGGGCAUGCCUGUCCGAGCGUCAUUUCAACCCUCAGGGCCCUCCAGCAGGGCGCUGGUGUUGGGGAUCGGCAGUCCCAGCGGCUGCCGUCCCUGAAAUGUAGUGGCGGUCCCACCGUGACCUCCCCUGUGCAGUACAUCGCUCGCAGAGGGACAGCGGUGCGGCCACGCCGUAAAACGCCCAACUCUUCAAGGUUGGCCUCGGAUCAGGUAGGACUACCCGCUGAACUUAAGCAUAUCAAUAAGCGGAGA
rnacentral:misc_RNA from 1 species